UGGGGAAUAUUGGACAAUGGGCGAAAGCCUGAUCCAGCCAUGCCGCGUGUGUGAAGAAGGUCUUCGGAUUGUAAAGCACUUUAAGUUGGGAGGAAGGGCAUUAACCUAAUACGUUAGUGUUUUGACGUUACCGACAGAAUAAGCACCGGCUAACUCUGUGCCAGCAGCCGCGGCAAUACAGAGGGUGCAAGCGUUAAUCGGAAUUACUGGGCGUAAAGCGCGCGUAGGUGGUUUGUUAAGUUGGAUGUGAAAUCCCCGGGCUCAACCUGGGAACUGCAUUCAAAACUGACUGACUAGAGUAUGGUAGAGGGUGGUGGAAUUUCCUGUGUAGCGGUGAAAUGCGUAGAUAUAGGAAGGAACACCAGUGGCGAAGGCGACCACCUGGACUAAUACUGACACUGAGGUGCGAAAGCGUGGGGAGCAAACA
rnacentral:rRNA from 1 species